CCUACGGGAGGCAGCAGUGAGGAAUAUUGGUCAAUGGGCGCGAGUCUGAACCAGCCAAGUAGCGUGAAGGAUGACUGCCCUCCGGGUUGUAAACUUCUUUUAUAAAGGAAUAAAGUGAGGCACGUGUGACUUUUUGUAUGUACUUUAUGAAUAAGGAUCGGCUAACUCCGUUCCAGCAGCCGCGGUAAUACGGAGGAUCCGAUCGUUAUCCGGAUUUAUUGGGUUUAAAGGGAGCGUAGAUGGGUUGGUAAGUCAGUUGUGAAAGUUUGCGGCGCAACCGUAAAAUUGCAAUUGAUACUGGCAGUCGUGAGUACAGUUGAGGUAGGCGGAAUUCGUGGUGUAGCGGUGAAAUGCGUAGAUAUCACGAAGAACCCCGAUUGCGAAGGCAGCUUACUAAACUGUGACUGACAUUGAUGCUCGAAAGUGUGGGUAUCAAACAGGAGUAGAUACCCGAGUAGUC
rnacentral:rRNA from 1 species